CUAUAGAAAAACAAUAGGAUUCAAUUCGUAAUUUCGAGGGCUAAAACUCCCUAGAUUGCAAGAUUUGGAGGUGUAAACAGGUGUAAUGGUGAUGUUUAAUAAACUCUUUGCGAUUAUUUUACUUAUGACGAUCUCCGUUAGCUCAGGCGGCCUUAACCAUUGUCACUCGUGUGUUUACAACACCAAUCUUGCAAAAGAAGUUCAAAAAUGCCUUAAUCUAAGAACUUCAUGCAUCACUGGAUAUUGCUUCUCGGUGAAAUACACCACUACUAACGGAACAGAUUUCGUUGCAAAGGGAUGUGAUCUUGCACCACCUUUUGGAUUUUGUUGGAAUGAAACAGACCCAUGCAAAAGGUUGAAAAAUCUAGCGUCCACGAAGUCUUGUUCUGGUUUAUGUUGUAAAAUUGAUCUCUGUAACGGAAGAGCAAUACAUACACCAUUGAAGACCAUUUUGGGAUUUGUCUUCUUAAUUGUCCUCUUCUUGUAUUGAACUUUUAUUCAUGUAUCUUUAAAGCCAUAUUGUGUGUAUAAUUUGAUCAAUUUGUUAUUGUUCAAAUCAAAUUUACACUUUGGUCUGAUAAAUUUUAAGCCGUUCGACAAUAGAGAGCGAGUUAUACAAAGAAAUUUGACUUCCGAUGAAUAAAAAAAUGUCUUUCAUAACGAUAAUUAUGUUGUGCCUUUAUAUAUAACGUCACACAUUUUUAGUUUGUAAACAGUUUAAUUGUAUUUCAUGAAAGUGCUUUCUAACCAAUCAAUAUCGCAAGAAAUAAAUUUUUGAUGGUUUCUGUCAUA